CAGUAGCCGCGGUAAUACGUAGGGCGCAAGCGUUAUCCGGAAUUAUUGGGCGUAAAGAGCUCGUAGGCGGUUUGUCGCGUCUGCCGUGAAAGUCCGGGGCUCAACCCCGGAUCUGCGGUGGGUACGGGCAGACUAGAGUGAUGUAGGGGAGACUGGAAUUCCUGGUGUAGCGGUGAAAUGCGCAGAUAUCAGGAGGAACACCGAUGGCGAAGGCAGGUCUCCGGGCAUUAACUGACGCUGAGGAGCGAAAGCAUGGGGAGCGAACAGGAUUAGAUCCCGCGUAGUCCCUGUCUCUUAUACA
rnacentral:rRNA from 1 species